rnacentral:lncRNA from 1 species
CUAUAACAGAAUUAGGAGCAAGCUUUUGAAACAGAUUGGUACUUUUUAGGGAAAUUAUCAAGAAAAUCAAGAGAUGAAAGUAAUCCAAGUAAAUGAUUGUAGGAACUUUUGAUUGAUGGGUUUAGGUAUUUGGGAAAUGAAAGUGAUAUAAAGAUGGGAAAGUUGAGAAAAUGAUUGAGGGUGAUGAGGAAUGAAGUAGCUUAAAGAGAAAUAAAACUGUUAAUAACCAGAAGAUGUGGUAGUGGUGGUGGUGGAGGGAUGAGAUUAUAAUUAUAAUAGCUUGCACGCAUGAGUUAAUUCAGAUUGGGGAUGGAAAACGCGGGAAGCAAUCUUCUCUA